rnacentral:rRNA from 1 species
GACGAACGCUGGCGGCGUGCUUAACACAUGCCAGUCGAACGAAGAGCGAUGGAAGCUUGCUUCUAUCAAUCUUAGUGGCGAACGGGUGAGUAACGCGUAAUCAACCUGCCCUUCAGAGGGGGACAACAGUUGGAAACGACUGCUAAUACCGCAUACGAUCUAACCUCGGCAUCGAGGAUAGAUGAAAGGUGGCCUCUACAUGUAAGCUAUCACUGAAGGAGGGGAUUGCGUCGGAUUAGCUAGUUGGAGGGGUAACGGCCCACCAAGGCGAUGAUCAGUAGCCGGUCUGAGAGGAUGAACGGCCACAUUGGGACUGAGACACGGCCCAGACUCCUACGGGAGGCAGCAGUGGGGAAUCUUCCGCAAUGGACGAAAGUCUGACGGAGCAACGCCGCGUGAGUGAUGACGGCCUUCGGGUUGUAAAGCUCUGUUAAUCGGGACGAAAGGCCUUCUUGCGAAUAGUGAGAAGGAUUGACGGUACCGGAAUAGAAAGCCACGGCUAACUACGUG